rnacentral:rRNA from 1 species
UUAAGCAAGAAAGGGCGCAGGGUGGAUGCCUUGGCACUGAGAGCCGAAGAAAGACGUGAUAAGCUGCGAUAAGCAGCGGUGAGGAGCAAAUAUCCGAUGACCCGCUGAUUUCUGAAUGGGGAAACCCGGCUGAGCAACCCUCAGUCACCAUAUGCUGAAUACAUAGGUAUAUGGAGGGAACCCGCUGAACUGAAACAUCUAAGUAGGCGGAGGAAGAGAAAGAAACAUCGAUUCUGUGAGUAGCGGCGAGCGAAAACGGAAGAGCCUAAACCGGAGCGCGUGCGUUCCGGGGUUCGGACUGCGACAUGUGAGCAAUAGGAUAACAGAACAGUCUGGGAAGUCAGACCAGAGAGGGUGAAAGUCCCGUAUGUGAAAUCCGAGUUGCAGCUAGCAGGAUCCAGAGUACCACGAGACACGAGAAACCUUGUGGGAAGGCAGGGAGACCACUCCCUAAGGCUAAAUACUACUCAGUGACCGAUAGCGCAUAGUACUGUGAAGGAAAGGUGAAAAGGACCCCGGGAGGGGAGUGAAAGAGAACCUGAAACCCUGUGUCUACAAGCUGUGGAAGAUCUUUACAUGAUCAACCGCGUACUUUUUGUAGAACGGUCCGGCGAGUUGCCAUGUCUGGCAAGGUUAAGUACUUAAGGUACGGAGCCGAAGUGAAAGCAAGUGUUAACAGCACGUUGAGUCAGACCGGGCAGACCCGAAACCGGGUGAUCUACCCAUGUCCAGGUUGAAGUUGCCGUAAAAGGCAAUGGAGGACCGAACGCACAUCCGUUGAAAAGGGUGGCGAUGAGGUGUGGGUAGGGGAGAAAUUCCAAUCGAACCCGGAGAUAGCUGGUUCUCCUCGAAAUAGCUUUAGGGCUAGCCUCAUAUUAGUCUUGCGGAGGUAGAGCACUGAAUAUCCUAGGGGGCGUCAAAGCUUACCGAAGAUUAUCAAACUCCGAAUGCCGUAAAGAUGAUGUAUGGGAGUCAGACUGCACGAGAUAAGUUGGGUAGUCAAAAGGGAAAGAGCCCAGACCUACAGCUAAGGUCCCAAAGUACGUGUUAAGUGGAAAAGGAUGUGGGAUUUCGAAGACAACUAGGAUGUUGGCUCAGAAGCAGCCAUACAUUCAAAGAGUGCGUAAUAGCUCACUAGUCGAGAGGUCCUGCGCCGAAAAUGUCCGGGGCUGAAACACGACACCGAAGCUUAGGAAUCGAAAGAUUGGUAGAGGAGCAUUGAAUACGGAACGAAGCAGUACCGGAAGGAGCUGUGGACUGUAUUGAAGAGAGAAUGCCGGAAUGAGUAGCGAGAUUUAAGUGAGAAUCUUAAAGGCCGAAUAUCUAAGGUUUCCAGGGUAAAGCUGAUCUUCCCUGGGUAAGUCGGGGCCUAAGGCGAGGACGAAAGUCGUAGUCGAUGGAUAACAGGUUGAAAUUCCUGUACCGCAUAUAUUCAGAAAUGUGGGGACACAGAUGGAGAGUACAGCCCGGGAAUGGAUAGACCGGGGCAAGCGAGGUAGGAGAAUGGCAGGCAAAUCCACCAUUCAAUCUGAAGACGUGACGCGUACCGAACAAGAGUAGGGAAGUGUAUGAGCCAGCUGUCGAGAAAAGCCGCUAUUGUGAUAUAUGCGCCCGUACCGUAAACCGACACAGGUGGAUGAGGAGAGAAUCCUAAGGCCGGCGGGAGAAGUGUUGUUAAGGAACUCGGCAAAAUGACCCCGUAACUUCGGGAGAAGGGGUGCCUCGGAAGAGGCCGCAGAGAAAUGGCCCAAGCAACUGUUUAGCAAAAACAUAGGUCUAUGCAAAACCGAAAGGUGAGGUAUAUGGGCUGACGCCUGCCCGGUGCUGGAAGGUUAAGAGGAGAGCUUAGCGCAAGCGAAGGUUUGAAUUUAAGCCCCAGUAAACGGCGGCCGUAACUAUAACGGUCCUAAGGUAGCGAAAUUCCUUGUCGGGUAAGUU